AUUGAACGCUGGCGGCAUGCUUUACACAUGCAAGUCGAACGGUAACAGGCCUUCGGGUGCUGACGAGUGGCGAACGGGUGAGUAAUGCAUCGGAACGUGCCCAAUCGUGGGGGAUAACGUAGCGAAAGUUGCGCUAAUACCGCAUAAGCCCUGGAGGGGGAAAGUGGGGGACCGCAAGGCCUCACGCGAAUGGAGCGGCCGAUGUCAGAUUAGCUAGUUGGUGGGGUAAAGGCCCACCAAGGCGACGAUCUGUAGCGGGUCUGAGAGGAUGAUCCGCCACACUGGAACUGAGACACGGUCCAGACUCCUACGGGAGGCAGCAGUGGGGAAUUUUGGACAAUGGGCGCAAGCCUGAUCCAGCCAUGCCGCGUGAGUGAAGAAGGCCUCGG
rnacentral:rRNA from 1 species